rnacentral:rRNA from 1 species
GACGAACGCUGGCGGCGUGCUUAACACAUGCAAGUCGAACGGAAAGGCCCUGCUUUUGUGGGGUGCGCGAGUGGCGAACGGGUGAGUAACACGUGAGUAACCUGCCCUUGACUUUGGGAUAACUUCAGGAAACUGGGGCUAAUACCGGAUAGGAGCUCCUGCUGCAUGGGGGGGGUUGGAAAGUUUCGGCGGUUGGGGUUGGACUCGCGGCUUAUCAGCUUGUUGGUGGGGUAGUGGCUUACCAAGGCUUUGACGGGUAGCCGGCCUGAGAGGGUGACCGGCCACAUUGGGACUGAGCUACGGCACAGACUCCUACGGGAGGCAGAAGUGCGGAAUAUUGCACAACGGGCGGAAGCCUGAUGCAGCAACGCCGCGUGCGGGAUGACGGCCUUCGGGUUGUAAACCGCUUUCGCCUGUGACGAAGCGUGAGUGACGGUAAUGGGUAAAGAAGCACCGGCUAACUACGUG